AACGAACGCUGGCGGCAUGCCUAACACAUGCAAGUCGAACGAGACCUUCGGGUCUAGUGGCGCACGGGUGCGUAACGCGUGGGAACCUGCCCUUAGGUUCGGAAUAACUCCCCGAAAGGGGUGCUAAUACCGGAUAAUGUCUUCGGACCAAAGAUUUAUCGCCUUUGGAUGGGCCCGCGUUGGAUUAGCGAGUUGGUAGGGUAAAAGCCUACCAAGGCGACGAUCCAUAGCUGGUCUGAGAGGAUGCUCAGCCACACUGGGACUGGGACACGGCCCAGACUCCUGCGAGAGGCAGCAGUGGUGACUAAGGGACAAUGGGCGAAAGCCUGAUCCAGCAAGGCCGCGAGAGUGAUGAAGGCCUUAGGGUUGUAAAGCUCUUUUACCCGGGAUGAUAAUGACAGAACCGGGAGAAUAAGCUCCGGCUACCUCCUU
rnacentral:rRNA from 1 species